rnacentral:rRNA from 1 species
CGGGUGGCAGCAGUGGGGAAUUUUGGACAAUGGACGCAAGUCUGAUCCAGCAAUGCCGCGUGCAGGAUGAAGGCCUUCGGGUUGUAAACUGCUUUUGUACGGAGCGAAAAGGUCUUUCCUAAUACGAAAGGCCCAUGACGGUACCGUAAGAAUAAGCACCGGCUAACUACGUGCCAGCAGCCGCGGUAAUACGUAGGGUGCAAGCGUUAAUCGGAAUUACUGGGCGUAAAGCGUGCGCAGGCGGUUAUAUAAGACAGAUGUGAAAUCCCCGGGCUCAACCUGGGACCUGCAUUUGUGACUGUAUAGCUAGAGUACGGUAGAGGGGGAUGGAAUUCCGCGUGUAGCAGUGAAAUGCGUAGAUAUGCGGAGGAACACCGAUGGCGAAGGCAAUCCCCUGGACCUGUACUGACGCUCAUGCACGAAAGCGUGGGGAGCAAACAGGAUUAGAUACCCCGGU